rnacentral:lncRNA from 1 species
CAAAAUCCCCAACCUAAUAAAAACCCUUCAACCUCACUUUUGUGCGUCAUCCCCUUCCCAGCCGCCUCCCCAUUUCUUUCAUUUUCCCAUUGUCUUCUUCAACAACAAUUUCUCUCAAACCAACGAAAUCAUUGGCUAGAUAGUCCGGCGCCUUCUCUCUUUCCAGGUAUGUUUAUGCAUUUACAUUUUAGAAUUUUUCAAUCCCAUACGCCUACUUGAUUUGAAAUUUUAGAUUUAUAUUAUAAUAAUUUGAUAGAUAUGGUGCAGUAUUGUGAUAGGUAUUGAGUGGAACCUUCAAGAUUAUAAUUUAAUGUUGGGAGGAGCCACAGUUCGUCGAAAAGACAUUACAAAUAUAAAUUAGAUGAAAAUCCUUUCAAAAGUUAUAGAAAAGUAUUCAGGUUUGUUUUUUUAUCUUGUUGCUUUGAAUUUUUUCCUCUUGUUAUAUGCUAAAAAUUCUUGUAAUAGAAGUAUCUAGACAUAAUUUUUCUCUCUUUGAACUUUCAUUUUGUAUUUUUACAAAUCAAACUUGCAUAUUUGUAUUAAUGGUUCCCUCAUUCUUUAGUGCUAAUUUUUGUUUCUUUUGAAUUUGCAGGGUGCAUUUUAAUCUGUUAAAUGCAAGCAGAUCAAAGAUCAGUCUUGAUGCAAAGAGUGAAAUUACUUUAUCGUUGCUAAUCCAGUGGCAACAUCUUUAGCUACGACGUAGAAUACCUCGAUCCAUCCGAUUUUGAAUAAAAAUAUUUGGCACUUCACCGCUACAUAAAUUGAGUGCAUUCAAAUUCAGAAAUGAAAGCACAUAAAAAUGGGAGGAAACUUGUUCAUGGCACACCCAUAUUUAUCUUGUUAAAAUUCACGGGAAUGUAUAGGAAAAUUGUGUCUUUAGUUUAAAAGUUGGUGGUUAACAAUGAAGGGUCACAACUUUUUAGAAAAGGCACAAUAUUAAUUAAUAUUUCUGUAGAUAUUUAUUUAAUUAUUGUUAAAAGGGUAUAUUGGUAAUUUAACUUUUUAGUUUGGGGCUUUCCACUUUUAAUAUAUAUAUAUAUAUAUAUAUACUAGUAGUUUCUAGGCAUGUGCAUUGCACGUGUACACCUAAUCAUGUAGCACACGG